ensembl:lncRNA
GGAAAGUGCAGCCCUUAGAGAUGUACUGGUGUCCAUAUCCCAGCAUGCUCUAGAGAGGCGGCUCUGGGGCCCAUCCUCCCAGCAUGCUCUGGGGUCGUGGCUCAGGCUCUUGCCUUCCCAGCAUGCCCUUUACCACAAAGGGCUAUUUUUUUUUCUUUUUCUUUGUCCACUUCUUGUAGAACUUGGAUGAAGUGUGUGUGUGUGUCUGCGUGUGUGUGUGUCUGCGUGUGUGUGUGUGUGUGUGUGUGUGUGUGUGUGUGUAGUCUUGAUGCUCUCCUGUGGUUUACUUCCCUUCUGAUAGGACACUAUAGCCAGUCUCAGCACUUGUAAGUGUGUGAGGGCCACAUCCAGGAAAGAAGGCAGAGCCCCUCUGCUUCUCCAACACACACACACACACACACACACACACAUACACACAGACAGACAGACAGACACACACACACAGACACAUACAGACACACACACAGACACACACACACAGACACACACACACAGAGACACAGACACACACACAGACACACACACACAGACACACACACACAGAGACACUGACAGACACACACACAGACACACACACAGACACACACACACAGACACACACACACACACACACACACACAGACAUAUACAGACACACACACAGACUGACAGACACAGACACACACACAGAGACACAUACAGACAUACACACACACACACACACACAGACACACACACACACCACACCACACCAGCAGCAGCAUCCCCAGACCCCUAUGGUCAAGAAUAAGACUUUCAGUGAUUGUGGUCUUGAUGCUGUGUGUCCGCCCGCUGGUAGCUUUGUGUGGGCUCCCUGCCGACCAGGCAUUUCCAGAGAGCAAAAGCCCUCGGAGGCCACAGUAAGGCAGGCUCCUGCUGGUGAGAGGAGUCACACAAGGCAAGACCAAGUCCUGAUAAUCCAUUCUUUUUUUCUUUUUAAACAUGCUAAGAAUCCACUUGACGGGAAAGAUCCUUUGCUAAUUGGCAUUAUUUAUUGCCCAUAUGGCUAGGGGCUUUAAGUCCAGAGUGAUCUGGGAGAAUGCAUUUUAGUUACCCCUGAGGAGAAUUCGUGAUCCCCACCCCCUCCCUCUGAGGUUGCCAAGCUGCGCCCAAAGCCUUUUCCUUCUUGCAAAACAAUCAGCCCUGUUUCUGAGCUGGCCCUAUCUGUCUCCUGAAGAGCCUAGCAGUCAAUGCCCUAGGAGGUCUGCCUGACACAAGAGAGCUGUCUCCUGUGUUUCUCCCCAUUUCUACCCAGUGCCCCCCUCCGCCCUUCUCUCUACCUCUGAAGACAGUUCGAGACUGGACAAGAGUCUCAUGUCCUUCCUGGAGAGCUCAUAGAAAAUGACUUUUGUGUUUUGUGUUUUCCAUCCAGCGUCUGGCUCUGGUGGCUCAUGGGGCACAGCUCCUGAGUAGCAAGAGGGCCACGUCUAACUUCUAACAUGAACCAGGUAGCAUGAGGCUCUUUGCCUUGGUUUUCCCUCCGGCCUCCUCCGCUGACUUCAGGAGGAAGAAGCUGGGUCAACAGAAGCGCCUAGGGCAUCUCCAGAGCUGUGGCUUUUCUUUAGACUGCAGAAGUGAUUUCCAGAGGGAGGGGAUUAUUUCUAUAAUCGAGAGGUCCAGUGUUUGGCUAAAAGUCAUAGAAAAGUAGAGAAAACCUGCAGGACCGGCAAAGGAGCAGAGACCCCGGGAGUCAGUGUCUGAUCCAGGAUCAGAAGCCCUGUGAGAGGAUAUUGUUUCCCUAGACAAAAGAAAACCAGGAGCUGGAUUGUGUGGGGGGAAACAUGGGGCUUUGCAGGAGCCUGACAAGGGUCCAAAAGAGCAGGCCCCAGAAAGGCUACUUUUCCUUUGUUCCUUUGGUUCACUGUGUUUCUCUUCUAAGCUCUGGUUGAGCUUCAUUCAGUCCACAGCCUGGGAUAAGGUACCAGGCUAGCCCAGCAGUCUCAGAGGGCAACAGGGAAGGAAGAGUAGGUGAGCUAUGGGAAGAAUCAAUCACACAGAAGUGCAUUUCUGGGAAGCAGAUGGUCAGAUUGUAUCUUGCUAAGGCAUGUUACAAUGGUUUUCCCUUAACAAACGGAAGUGAGUCCCCAUCCCACUGGAAAUGUUCAUUCACUUCUCUGUCUCUUUCUCCCUUUUUAGAGCCAGGGUAGGGGACCCUGCCCCUAUCCCCAUGGGAGCACAGUGUGCUGUGACCUGUCCUGGCCAACACCAGAAAGACAGUUUAUAAGUGGUGCCUUGGGUGUCAUCAGGGUGACCUUUGGGUUUGUCUUUGGGGACCCACUGUGAAAGCUAGCCUGUUACUGGCAUGGCACAGAGACGGUAAUAAAGACACCGACCGGAAUGAUACUGUCAUUUACUGUUGCCAGAAAAAAAAGUCCCCACCAUUUUUGUUUUUGUAUUUGUUUUUGUUUUGAAGCAGCUGAUAGAACAGACAGGAAGGAAACUUUAAUAACCCUUUCCUCAAGGAAUGAGGCUGGGCCUCCCCUGGGUUGCAGGUCUGAGCCACACACUCCUAAUCCCAGGUAGUCUCUGGGCCCCUGGCUUUCACUUUCCUUGACUGUUCCAGCAAAGGAAGUUUGUUAACGGAAGUACCUGAAAUCAUAGCCAAAGUUUCAGAGAUACUGGUCUUCCUGUUUUGGCUUGGCUACACGUUCUAGUCUUGAGUUUCAGGAUCUCUGAAAGGAAUCACGAGCACUCUAUUUAAAUAAGUAAAACUCGAUAAUCAAACUGUAUGGAAAGCCGGAGGAUUACAGGGAGCCCCAAUCCACCCCCCUCCAACCCCACCCCCCUCACACCCCAUAUUCUUUCUCAUACUCUCUUGUAGGGGACUAAGAGAAGCAUGUCUAUGUAUUUGUGUUUCUUUUUUUAAAAGUAAUGCAACGCCAGGUGUGGUGGCGCAUGCCUGGGAUCCCAGGACUGAAAGGUGGAGGCAGGAGGAUCAGGGGUUCAAGUCCAGCUUCUGGGCACAUAAGACCUCGUCUUGGAACAAAAACAGCAAUGUAAAAACAGAAUGAGAAAACCUCAGGACCGCUCCCCCCGUCACAGCAGGGGUACGAAGAAUGAAACAGGAUGAUUCUGCAGCUCAUGGAAGACCCCUUGGAGAUAGCCCGUGGUAAUGAGGACGGGAGUGCUCUGUGAUGCAGAUCCAACCUGUACCGUCCCAUGAGCUGACUGGCGAAUUCCACUCCUUGUGUGGUUUCUGUGUAGUGUGCGUUAGGAAGUGUCCUAGUAGCCGGUUCCAGUUGUCUAGACUGACUUGCAACCCUUUCCCACCACCUUCAGUGAGUCCCAGGGCCCACAGCUCAUCUUGAUCCUCAUGGGGUUGGAAUGGGGAGGAGGGAGCUUUUUUUUUUUUUUCUAGUCAUAUCUGCUAAUUUAAGAGUGAGAUUUACUUUAUGGAAGUCAACUCAAUAAAAACUGCAUUCGAGUUGCAAUACCAUUUCACAGUGAAAUAUUUUUGAGUAGAGUUUUGUUGCUAGAAUAGUCAUGGGCAAGAGUUUUAUCAGCAAAACGUUUCAAUUAUGUUAAUAAAUCAGACAAUGCUACUAG